rnacentral:lncRNA from 1 species
CUCAGUCACAGGUUAAUUAACUGAAACGCCUACCAAUUAAUAACCACCAACAGUUGAUCAACACUGAACACUCCCUUUUACCAUGCCAACAACUAAAGAAGAAAAGGCCUUGAAUGAGAUACUUCCUAAGCAAGGACUUCUCUACAAUGAAGAAGUAUCUGUCAUGGUGAUGAAUAAACCAAAGAUACUACCACUUAAAUCUGUUACUUUAGAAAAGAUUGAAGACAUGCAAAAACAGGCCCAAGACUUUAUGAAUCAAGAGAAGAAACCAACAACUGAUGAGAAACAGUAACACACAUAACUAUUAAUUCUGUUUAUGGCAAAAAAUUGCUUAUAAUAAUAA